CACGAAAUUUAUCCCUUUUUUAUUCAUUUCACAGGCAAAGGAAAUAUAAGAGAACGGACAAAAAAAAACUUUAAAAAAGAAUUAGAAAGCCAUGUAGAGCACCAAACAGCCUUAUAAAGUUACAACCAAAUCAAACCAUUAAAGCUCCUAAAAAUCCUCAUCCAUCUUAAACACAUGGGUUCCCCCAUUUCCAUUAAGGCUAGACAUAACGGCCGCCUUCUGAUACUCUCCAACUCUCUUCUCAAAGAAAUUCGUCUUCCCUUGCAGCGAGAUCAGCUCCAUCCAAUCAAAAGGAUUAGCCACAUUGUAGAUCUUUCCGCACCCAAGCGCACCCAACAACCUAUCAGCCACGAACUCAAUGUACUGGCUCAUCAGCUCUCCGUUCAUCCCCACCAAGGCACAUGGAAGCGCAUCGCACACAAACUCCCUCUCGAUAUCCACUGCGUCUCGCACUAUCCCCUUCACACGCUCCUCGCUCAACUUAUUCCGUAACAGCCCGUAUAGCAAACACGCGAAGUCACAGUGCAAGCCCUCAUCUCGCGAGAUCAACUCGUUUGAGAAUGUUAAUCCCGGCAUCAAGCCACGCUUCUUUAGCCAAAAUAUCGCGCAAAAGCUUCCAGAAAAAAAUAUUCCCUCCACACAGGCAAAAGCGAUCAGCCUCUCCGCAAAAGUCUCCGAACCAUCGAUCCACCUGAGGGCCCACUCAGCUUUUUUAGCCACACAAGGGACAGUCUCAAUUGCAUGAAACAAGCGAUUCUUCUCGUUGGAAUCUUUAAUAUAAGUCUCCAACAAAAGACUGUACAUCUCGGAAUGGAUAUUUUCAAUAGCGAUUUGGAAUCCAUAGAAAGCACGAGCCUCAGCAACCUGGACUUCCUUCAUAAAACGUCCAGCGAGGUUUUCGAGAACGAUACCAUCGGAGGCGGCAAAGAAUGCAAGAACAUGGGUGACAAAGUGCUUUUCAUCGGGUGUUAGGGCUUCCCAGUGGCGGAGAUCUUGAGAGAGAUCGACCUCCUCAGCAGUCCAAAAGGAGGCCUCGGCUUUCUUAUACAUUUCCCAGAUUUGUGGGUAUUCAAUUGGGAACAUACAGAAACGAUCUGAGUUUGGGGCAAGGAGCGGCUCUUCUGGGAUUGAAGGCAUUUUUAGGUAAAUCUGAGACUGGGGAUUAUCUGGGUAGAAGAAGAAAGAUUGAAAACUGUUUGUGAACUGGGCUAGUUCUGAAGAGAGGCCGAGGGUUUGGGCGUGGUUUUAUAGGGGAGAGAAGAAGAGGGGAGUUUUUGAAUGUUGAAUUUGGAGGAAGAGGCAGAGCGGGG
rnacentral:misc_RNA from 1 species